GGGGGCGAAAAUGGUUUCGACGGGGAUUUUGAGCUUAAAGUAGCGAGUCGUUGAUGGAUCACACAACGUAAAAAUGGUCUAUUAAAAAAUAAACGACGAAAAUAAUUUCGCACUAGCUGCCUAAUUAGGUAGCAAUCCGGCCAGACACCGCGAACUGUAACCGGGUUUCAAAUUAGCGGGCAAACGAACUCUGUGAGGCGCCAUAGCAGAGGGGGUUUAUGGCGAUACCCUGUAUGAGUUUGACACUCUAGUAGUACAGGGGAAAAUUAAAGAGGAGUCUGCACUCGGAGAAUCUUUCUGUAAGGGGUCUUCGGACGUGGGUUCGACUCCCACCGCCUCCACCA
rfam:Peptoniphilus harei ACS-146-V-Sch2b contig00013, whole genome shotgun sequence.